GUGGUGGUUCAGUGGGAGAAUUCUUGUCUCACAUGCAAGAGACCUGGAUUUGACUCCCAGCCAAUGCA
rnacentral:tRNA from 1 species